UACGAAGGGGGCUAGCGUUGUUCGGAAUUACUGGGCGUAAAGCGUGCGCAGGCGGCUUCUCAAGUCAGGGGUGAAAGCCCAGAGCUCAACUCUGGAAUUGCCUUUGAUACUGAAGAUCUUGAGUUCGGGAGAGGUGAGUGGAACUGCGAGUGUAGAGGUGAAAUUCGUAGAUAUUCGCAAGAACACCAGUGGCGAAGGCGGCUCACUGGCCCGGUACUGACGCUGAGGUGCGAAAGCGUGGGGAGCAAACAGG
rnacentral:rRNA from 1 species